AAGUCUUAGUAAUAGGGUCCCGUUUUACCCUUUGGGUACGGAACCCUAAAAAGUAGCCUUCUUUGAUUUGAACUGGCAUAAUGUGACUUUAAAAAAAUCGCCAUGCGAAAAACAAUUAACAUACAAGUCAAUUUAUGAAUAUUCAGUGCGGAAAGUUCGCCGUAAAGGGCUGUGCCUCUUAAUACAAAAGUCUAUUUCAGACAAAUAUGAUUUAUAUAAAGAUACUUUAUGUACAGGUUACAGGCUUUAAUAGGUACAGGCACAUAGCCGAUAGUAAAGUGCUACAUUUGAUGAUUCAAACCUGAACACCUCGAGUGGCGCCUUCACAAAUCUAUGGACCAUCAUUGGCUUACUCCGAUUGCAGAAACCUUGUACUAUACCAUACUUUUACUGUCGUUUAUAACUAUAAUUUAUAAGAGAUAAAAUUAUUUAAGAUGCUAGACUUAAAGGUAAAGUUCAAAUUUUAAAACAAUGUACAAUCAUCAAACGAUUUGUUUGUAAUCUGACGAGCAAUACCAAGAGUACAAGAGUUUUACUUAAUUCUGCAAUAAGGCGCGGACGCGGCAUAUCACACUUCGAGUUACGGUUAUUUAUUCCAAAUACUUGUAAUGAUAAUUUUAAAGUACCUACAUACGAUUACUUUAUUACCCUGCCUAAGUUUUAUUCAUUGGUUAUGGAGUGGACUAAUUAAUUUAAUAUAAUAAAUAAAACAAGUGUUUUUAUA